GGGACACGUGGUAUCCUGUCUGAAUAUGGGGGGACCAUCCUCCAAGGCUAAAUACUCCUGACUGACCGAUAGUGAACCAGUACCGUGAGGGAAAGGCGAAAAGAACCCCGGCGAGGGGAGUGAAAAAGAACCUGAAACCGUGUACGUACAAGCAGUGGGAGCACCCUUUUGGGUGUGACUGCGUACCUUUUGUAUAAUGGGUCAGCGACUUAUAUUCUGUAGCAAGGUUAACCGAAUAGGGGAGCCGGAGGGAAACCGAGUCUUAAUUGGGCGUUAAGUUGCAGGGUAUAGACCCGAAACCCGGUGAUCUAGCCAUGGGCAGGUUGAAGGUUGGGUAACACUAACUGGAGGACCGAACCGACUAAUGUUGAAAAAUUAGCGGAUGACCUGUGGCUGGGGGUGAAAGGCCAAUCAAACCGGGAGAUAGCUGGUUCUCCCCGAAAGCUAUUUAGGUAGCGCCUCGUGAAUUCAUCUCCGGGGGUAGAGCACUGUUUCGGCUAGGGGGCCAUCCCGGCUUACCAACCCGAUGCAAACUGCGAAUACCGGAGAAUGUUAUCACGGGAGACACACGGCGGGUGCUAACGUCCGUCGUGAAGAGGGAAACAACCCAGACCGCCAGCUAAGGUCCCAAAGUCAUGGUUAAGUGGGAAACGAUGUGGGAAGGCCCAGACAGCCAGGAUGUUGGCUUAGAAGCAGCCAUCAUUUAAAGAAAGCGUAAUAGCUCACUGGUCGAGUCGGCCUGCGCGGAAGAUGUAACGGGGCUAAACCAUGCACCGAAGCUGCGGCAGCGACGCUCAGGCGUUGUUGGGUAGGGGAGCGUUCUGUAAGCCUGUGAAGGUGGCCUGUGAGGGUUGCUGGAGGUAUCAGAAGUGCGAAUGCUGACAUAAGUAACGAUAAAGCGGGUGAAAAGCCCGCUCGCCGGAAGACCAAGGGUUCCUGUCCAACGUUAAUCGGGGCAGGGUGAGUCGACCCCUAAGGCGAGGCCGAAAGGCGUAGUCGAUGGGAAACGGGUUAAUAUUCCCGUACUUGGUGUUACUGCGAAGGGGGGACGGAGAAGGCUAUGUUGGCCGGGCGACGGUUGUCCCGGUUUAAGCGUGUAGGUGUGUGUUCCAGGUAAAUCCGGUUCACUUUAACACUGAGGCGUGACGACGAGGCACUACGGUGCUGAAGCAACAAAUGCCCUGCUUCCAGGAAAAGCCUCUAAGCAUCAGGUAACAUCAAAUCGUACCCCAAACCGACACAGGUGGUCAGGUAGAGAAUACCAAGGCGCUUGAGAGAACUCGGGUGAAGGAACUAGGCAAAAUGGUGCCGUAACUUCGGGAGAAGGCACGCUGACACGUAGGUGAAGUGAUUUACUCAUGGAGCUGAAGUCAGUCGAAGAUACCAGCUGGCUGCAACUGUUUAUUAAAA
rnacentral:rRNA from 1 species